AGAUACAGUAUCUAAAGGCAUUUGUGCCUGAAGCCACGGAAGAUAGAUGGACAAGCCAAGCAACUUCUGACUCUGCAUCAUUUUCUGGGGCAAAAUUAUAUGGCAAUGUAUCCUACAAGGGUAUCCGGUGAGGAAUGCAAUGGGAUCAAUAGCAUGUCGGCGGAGAGCGGCCCUGGAACGAGACUGAGAAAUUUGCCGGUAAUGGGGGAUGGACUAGAAACCACCCAAAUGUCUACGACGCAGUCACAGGCUCAACCCCAACAAGGCAGUGUUGUAGGCGUUAAUCCCCCUCCGCCGGAGACCUCCAACCCCAACAAACCCAAGCGGCAGACCAACCAGCUGCAAUACCUGCUCAAGGUGGUGCUGAAGACGCUAUGGAAGCACCAGUUUGCGUGGCCUUUCCAGCAGCCCGUGGACGCCGUCAAGCUGAACCUCCCU